rnacentral:rRNA from 1 species
UCGAGAAUCUUCGGCAAUGGGCGAAAGCCUGACCGAGCAAUGCCGCGUGCGGGAUGAAGGCCCUCGGGUUGUAAACCGCGAAAGUGAGGAGGAAGGGCCCGUGCAGAGCGGGUCUUGACCGAUCCACAGUAAGGACGGGCUAAGUUCGUGCCAGCAGCCGCGGUAACACGAACCGUCCGAACGUUAUUCGGAAUCAUUGGGCUUAAAGGGUGCGUAGGCGGCGCUCUAAGUCGGGUGUGAAAUCCUUCGGCUCAACCGAAGAAUUGCGCCCGAUACUGGGGUGCUAGAGGGAGACAGGGGUGAGCGGAACUGAUGGUGGAGCGGUGAAAUGCGUUGAUAUCAUCAGGAACACCGGUGGCGAAAGCGGCUCACUGGGUCUCUUCUGACGCUGAGGCACGAAAGCCAGGGUAGCGAACGGGAUUAGAUACCCCCGUAGUCC